CUUACACAUGCAGUCGAGCGGUAACACAAGGGAGCUUGCUCCNUGAGGUGACGAGCGGCGGACGGGUGAGUAAUGCCUAGGGAUCUGCCCAGUCGAGGGGGAUAACAGUUGGAAACGACUGCUAAUACCGCAUACGCCCUACGGGGGAAAGGAGGGGACCUUCGGGCCUUCCGCGAUUGGAUGAACCUAGGUGGGAUUAGCUAGUUGGUGAGGUAAUGGCUCACCAAGGCGACGAUCCCUAGCUGUUCUGAGAGGAUGAUCAGCCACACUGGGACUGAGACACGGCCCAGACUCCUACGGGAGGCAGCAGUGGGGAAUAUUGCACAAUGGGGGAAACCCUGAUGCAGCCAUGCCGCGUGUGUGAAGAAGGCCUUCGGGUUGUAAAGCACUUUCAGUAGGGAGGAAAGGUGAUGUGUUAAUAGCACAUUGCUGUGACGUUACCUACAGAAGAAGGACCGGCUAACUCCGUGCCAGCAGCCGCGGUAAUACGGAGGGUCCGAGCGUUAAUCGGAAUUACUGGGCGUAAAGCGUGCGCAGCGGGUUUGUUAAGCCAGAUGUGAAAUCCCCGGGCUCAACCUGGGAAUUGCAUUUGGAACUGGCGAACUAGAGUCUUGUAGAGGGGGGUAGAAUUCCAGGUGUAGCGGUGAAAUGCGUAGAUAUCUGGAGGAAUACCGGUGGCGAA
rnacentral:rRNA from 1 species